rnacentral:rRNA from 1 species
GUGCCAGCAGCCGCGGUAAGACGAACCGAGCGAACGUUGUUCGGAAUCACUGGGCUUAAAGGGAGCGUAGGCGGGCUAACAAGUCUGGGGUGAAAUCCCGCGGCUCAACCGUGGAACUGCCUUAGAUACUGUCGGCCUCGAGGGAGAUAGGGGCAUGCGGAACUAACGGUGGAGCGGUGAAAUGCGUUGAUAUCGUUAGGAACUCCGGUGGCGAAAGCGGCUCACUGGAUCUCUUCUGACGCUGAUGCACGAAAGCUAGGGUAGCGAACGGGAUUAGAUACCCCAGUAGUCC